rnacentral:rRNA from 1 species
AUGAACGCUGGCGGCGUGCCUAAUACAUGCAAGUCGAGCGAACAGAUGAGGAGCUUGCUCCUCUGACGUUAGCGGCGGACGGGUGAGUAACACGUGGAUAACCUACCUAUAAGACUGGGAUAACUUCGGGAAACCGGAGCUAAUACCGGAUAAUAUAUUGAACCGCAUGGUUCCAUAGUGAAAGACGGUUUUGCUGUCACUUAUAGAUGGAUCCGCGCCGCAUUAGCUAGUUGGUAAGGUAACGGCUUACCAAGGCAACGAUGCGUAGCCGACCUGAGAGGGUGAUCGGCCACACUGGAACUGAGACACGGUCCAGACUCCUACGGGAGGCAGCAGUAGGGAAUCUUCCGUAAUGGGCGAAAGCCUGACGGAGCAACGCCGCGUGAGUGAUGAAGGUCUUCGGAUCGUAAAACUCUGUUAUUAGGGAAGAACAAAUGUGUAAGUAACUAUGCACGUCUUGACGGUACCUAAUCAGAAAGCCACGGCUAACUACGUG